GGAAGGUAAUCUCUAAAAACGUUGACAGUGAUAAUAGGAACUGUCCUGAGAUCAGGCACCUUGGAAGACGGGCUUGCCUCCAGUCCCCGAGUCGUCCGUCUGAGACAUGGGCAUGUCUGAAAACACACGGGCUUUUUUGCAAUGAGAAGAUACAACCCACAGCCAGGAAAGGAAAUUAAAUGCUUU
rnacentral:lncRNA from 1 species